rnacentral:rRNA from 1 species
AACGAACGCUGGCGGCAUGCCUAACACAUGCAAGUCGAACGAAGGCUUCGGCCUUAGUGGCGCACGGGUGCGUAACGCGUGGGAAUCUGCCCUUUGGUUCGGAAUAACAGCUGGAAACGGCUGCUAAUACCGGAUGAUGACGAAAGUCCAAAGAUUUAUCGCCAGAGGAUGAGCCCGCGUUGGAUUAGGUAGUUGGUGGGGUAAAGGCCUACCAAGCCGACGAUCCGUAGCUGGUCUGAGAGGAUGAUCAGCCACACUGGGACUGAGACACGGCCCAGACUCCUACGGGAGGCAGCAGUGGGGAAUAUUGGACAAUGGGCGCAAGCCUGAUCCAGCAAUGCCGCGUGAGUGAUGAAGGCCCUAGGGUUGUAAAGCUCUUUUACCCGGGAAGAUAAUGACUGUACCGGGAGAAUAAGCCCCGGCUAACUCCGUG